rnacentral:rRNA from 1 species
UGUGAAGGAAAGGUGAAAAGGACCCCGGGAGGGGAGUGAAAGAGAACCUGAAACCUUGUGCCUACAAGCACAUAGAGCCCGUCAAAGGGUGAUAUGGUACUUUUUGUAGAACGGUCCGGCGAGCGAUUGUACGUUGCGAGCUUAAGGUCUUAAGGACUGGAGGCGUAGCGAGAGCGAGUCUAAACAGGGCGUUUAGUAGCGUGCAAUGGGCCCGAAACCGGGUGACCUACCCAUGAUCAGGCUGAAGUGAAAGUAAAAUUUCAUGGAGGGCCGAACCGACCUCCGUUGAAAAGGCGGCGGAUGAAUUGUGGGUAGCGGAGAAAUUCCAAUCGAACUCGGAGAUAGCUGGUUCUCCCCGAAAUAGCUUUAGGGCUAGCCUCAUGUUAGAUAUCCGGAGGUAAAGCACUGAAUGGCCUAGCGUCCGAGAGGAUAGCGAAGCCUAUCAAACUAAGAAUGCCGGAAUAUUGAUGCAUGGGAGUCAGACAGUGUGAGAUAAAUCUCAUUGUCAAAAGGGAAACAGCCCAGAUCUACAGCUAAGGUCCCAAAUUGUAUCUAAGUGGAAAACGAUGUGGAAAUACGCAGACAACCAGGAUGUUGGCUCAGAAGCAGCCACUCAUUUAAAGAGUGCGUAAUAGCUCACUGGUCGAGCGUCUCUGCGCGGAAAAUUUAACGGGGCUAAGAUACAAACCGAAGCUUAGGCUGCACUUUUAGUGCGGGGUAGGGGAGCGUUGUGUAAGCGGAGAAACAGUAGCGGAAGCGGCUGUGGAGUUUACAGAAGUGAGAAUGCCGGAAUGAGUAGCGCGAAUGAUGUGAGAAUCAUCAUGGCCGGAAACCUCAGGUUUUUGGAGGAAGGUUCGUCCGCUCCAAGUUAGGCGGGAGCUAAGGUGAGGCCGAAAGGCGUAGCCGAUGCACAGACGGUAGAGAUUCCGUCCCCACCGAAAGAUUUAAGCGCAGGGACACUUUUAGAAGGUCGGAGCCAGGUGUUGGUUCUGGUAGAGAUCGAGGGAAGAUUAGUACCGAAGUCCGGCUGGAUAAGAGGCGAGAAAAGCUGCGUGUAUAUCUAAGGUGCCCGUACCGCAAACCGACACAGGUAGGUAGGAAGAAGAUUCUAAGGCCAACGGGAGAAGGGUUGUUAAGGAACUCGGCAAGUUGACCCCGUAACUUCGGAAUAAGGGGUGCUCAUGAAAGUGAGCCGCAGAGAAUAGGCCCAGGCAACUGUUUACCAAAAACACAGGUUUGUGCUAAAUCGAAAGAUGACGUAUACGAGCUGACGCCUGCCCGGUGCUGGAAGGUUAAAAGGAGAUGUGCAAGCAUUGAAUUGAAGCCCCAGUGAACGGCGGCCGUAACUAUAACGGUCCUAAGGUAGCGAAAUUCCUUGUCAGGUAAGUUCUGACCCGCAUGAAAGGCGUAAUGAUCUGGGCACUGUCUCAACAGCCCGCCCGGCGAAAUUGUAGUACCGGUGAAGAUGCCGGUUACCCGCGACAAGACGGAAAGACCCCAUGGAGCUUUACUGUAGCCUGAUAUUGGGUUUCGGAAAUCUAUGUACAGGAUAGGCGGGAGACUGGGAAACAUGAGCGUCAGCUUGUGUGGAGUCGAUGUUGGGAUACCGCCCUUAGGUUUCUGGAAUUCUAACCUGCGGCCGUGAAUCCGGUCGGGGGACAUUGUCAGGUGGGCAGUUUGACUGGGGCGGUCGCCUCCGAAAAGGUAACGGAGGCGCUCAAAGGUUAGCUCAGCACGGACGGAAACCGUGCCUCUGAGUGUAAACGCAAAAGCUAGCCUAACUGCGAGGGUGACGGCCCGAGCAGUAACGAAAGUUGGAGUUAGUGAUCCGGCGGUAUGUGAAUGGAAAUGCCGUCGCUCAACGGAUAAAAGCUACCCUGGGGAUAACAGGCUGAUCUCCCCCAAGAGU